UCCGCUCCAUCGGGCACCAGUUUCUCUUUGGUUUUACUUUUAUCCUCCUGACUCCUCUCUCUCUCUCUCUCGGUUUCCUUUCUUUUCUUUCCUCUCUUUUCAUUGGCUCUUUUUUACGCCUUUUAUCCUCUCGCGAACCCUAACCUCGUCUCACUUUCGAUCUGAAACUCGAUCUCGGCCACGGCGGUUUCUGCAUCUCGUGUUCUUCUCUAACCAGGAAGCAAUGUCUCUUGCGCGGAAUUACCGUUCACAAGGAGGAACCAUCCAUGAUCAUCACUGGUCUUCUUUCAAUAUAAAUAGCCACAGCAACAACAUUGGGAAUUGGAGCAGGAAUAACCAUUGCAAUGAUUAUAGGAGCUACGAUGAUUAUCAGGACUUUUUUUUGAAUGGCAGGGAGCAUGUCAAUCAUGUUAACCAUGUUCAGCCUCCGAAUGCCAUGCCAUCUUCGAAAAGGAGAAAAUUUUCAGCUUCUACUUGGGGAGAUGGUGCUGCAGGUGGACACUAUUUGCCAUCUUGCGGCACUUAUGAAGCUGCUGCUCCAUCUAUGUGCAACAACAGUACAAUUCAGGUCUCUCUUGCUAGAAGCAAUGUUGAUACCUCGACAUCUGGCUGUGGCAAACGAGACCGUUCAAAAUUGGAAGAAGAUGAGCAAGUCUUUAUGUCUAGGGAUGAGAUUGAGAGACACUCCCCAUCAAGGAGAGAUGGAAUUGAUGCAUUUCGUGAAACUCAUUUGCGAUAUUCAUAUUGUGCUUUCAUUCAGAAUCUCGGAUUGCGGCUCGAGUUGCCACAAACCACCAUCGGCACCACCAUGGUUCUGUGCCACAGGUUUUUUGCUCGACGUUCGCAUGCUUGCCAUGAUAGAUUUUUAAUUGCUACUGCUGCCCUUUUUCUUGCUGCAAAGUCUGAGGAGACAGCACGCCCUCUGAAUAACGUACUGAGAGCAUCUUGUGAAGUUUUCCAUAAGCAGGAUAUAUCUUUCUUGUCCUAUAUUCUUCCGGUUGACUGGUUUGAACAGUAUCGUGAACGUGUGAUUGAGGCUGAGCAGAUGAUACUUACCACUCUGAAUUUUGAACUUAAUGUUCAACAUCCAUAUGCUCCUCUUACAUCUAUUCUAAACAAAUUAGGUCUUUCACAGACAGUUCUGGUGAAUUUGGCGUUGCGCUUGAUCAGUGAAGGGAUCUUCACAAGAUUAGCGUGCUGCCCUAUUUCAUAGUAUUAUCUGGCGGAUUGAUAUGCUGUGCAUGGAAAGUUUUGUUUUACAUCUGAAGUUGAAUUGCAGAUAUGUUGUGGAUCACUUUGUUAUGAUAUAUCAAGUGUCCAACUUGUUCACUUGCUGUAAACCAAUAUAACUGCACCCAGAACCAAUUUUGGGAAUAUAGUCCCUCUCUGACCGUCCAUAGUAUUUGAAAUGAUCCCUAUAGAGUUCUGCCAGCAUUGAGUUAUGUGGCCUUGCUUCCUAUGUGCUCGGUGCCCCUUCAAGCUGUGUUGAGGAAAUCAGUGAUUUUUGGCGGGGAUCAAUAUGUCGUAUAGGGCAUCAUAGGGUGUGGUCUUUCCACCCCUCUUUUUGGGAAAAAGAAGGUUUGGGGCAUUUGAUAAAUUAUUUUCUUUUCUUAUUUAAAUUUAAUCUUUCCUCCCCCCCACUUAAAACCAGUUUGAUUUAUUGCCAAAUUUUUAAAUGGGCAUUAAGUCACUUUGCUGCUAUUUCUCUAUAUCAAAUAUUUUAAAAUAUUUAGAUUUUCAAUUUAGUAUAUAUUAUUAAUGCAUGCACAAUUUAGCAUGAACUAUGACUUAGGGUCUCUCUUCUUUUUUUUCAAGGGAGCUUACUAUUGAUGUGCAAGUUUCACCUGGGCGUGAUGAUGUUGCUAAAUCUUUUGUUUGUUAUCAAAGAAGAAUCAUAUUAUACUUGGGUAUACAGAGCUUUUUAUAUAUAAGUUUAUAAAGAUAUUUUGUACCUCCAUAUAUAUACCUCAAACACAAGUACCCCAGGAUAUAUUAUUAUUUUGUUUCUAUCCUUUUUUUUGUAAGACAGCUAUAUGUUCUUCUGUCUUUUCUUUUAUAUACGAUUGCCUUUCUGAUUAAAAGUUUUCCCUCACUGGAGCUAUUGGAAAAGUAUAUGCAUCGGGACGAAAUAUCUUUGACAUGAAGGGCAGAAAAUGAAUGAGAAAGAUGAGACACCCUUCAGGAAAACAUAAAGAUUAAUUGGAUGCUUAUUAAUAAUAUUGAAAACCAAUGAGUUACUCUAGAAGGGUAAGCGUAAGGCCCUAUUAUCCUUUAUUGAUUGUACAUGGUUUGCACCCCCUUGGUGCCCCUUAAUACCUUUCCUUUUCAAUUAUAAAAAAAUAUUGAAUGAUGACUUUGGCCAGUUUGGUAUUUGAAGUUAUUCUAUAUAUAUGUACAAACAUACUUAAUGUCAUAUUAUUUUAUUAUGUUACUAUUUUUUUUCCUCAUAUCAUUCCUUCCACUUCUAUUUUUUCCCCAGUCCCACUUGUUCUAGUUAUUGCUUCUUUUCUGAGAAAUCAUAUUUCUUCGAUAUGGAUUUUUCCUCUGCUGUUCUCAUAUAUUUCCGAGAUUGUUAUUGCAUAGGUUCAUUUCAUAGCGAUUCCCAUGAGAAUUCAUGUAUUAUUUAGAGCGUUAGCAAUUUCUUACCUUUCUUUCUUUUUUUUCCCCUUUCUUUUGUAAUCCUGUUUGGUGGCUGGUCUAGUAGCCUGAAGCCUUUGGUUUAUUUAAGAUUAAGAUAGAGAUGGUUGCUUAGAAUGACCUAGGUUAUUAGGUUUGCUCAUUACUUGUUGCAUUAAAAAGCCUUGAUGCAAGCUUCUGGUUGAUACUAUAUAGUUAUCCUUGGGGUUUGAUCAAUGACUCUCUCUCUCUCGAAUACUUUUACCCUUCUUCUCAUCCUUUUCUCCUUUUGAUUGAUUGUUCAUUAUCCUGCUGCAUCUAUUCUACUUAAUGCCUUACGCAGUUUUGUUAUAACUUUCAAUUUUGUUCCCAUUAAGUUUAACUACGUGCAUUACACGAAUUGGUGGCAAUUGACAAGUUUGCCAUGCCCUCUUCUCAUGCGAGGAUGUGAGAUCGUGGUAUUCUGUAGUUGAGCGGACAUGCAUGCAGCAUGUUCCAUGAGCUUUUUUAGGCAUGCAUGUUCGCAAGCCUUUCACGAUUGGACUGUUGAGCUGAAGAUGCAGACAUUUCCUAUGAGGAAUUUUGAUUAUUUGCAAUAUGUGAUGGUUCUUUUGUUAUGUUUACUUAUUGGGAUUACAUAUGUUUCUGGAGUUAAAAAAGUCCUUGCAGCACCAUUGAGCCUGGGAGUUGAUGUGUUCUGUAGAUGAAUAUUCUACCUGUGUUGCUGCUCUUGUAGUUGGUAAGAAAUAAUGACUAGCUCUUUCAAAUUAAAACUAUGUGGCUAUGUUGUCCUCUAGCUCGUGACUAUAAAGUUUUAUGCUUUAUCUCAAGUAUUCUUGUAGUUAAUGUCGUUAUGCCAAUGUGGAAAUACUUGCACUUAGUACAACACACUGCCUGUUCAGUCAAGUGUUACUCAAGAUGGUUUGUUUGACUUUGCUUCCAUUUUCCAUUUGUAUUAGUAAAGUUCAUGGUUUUCCAUGUUUUUGAAUGCAUAAGUAGUUCUUUAUAUUAUUCUGCAGGCUUCGGAGCUCAUUGUGGCUUCAGUUUAAACCACACCAUAUCGCUGCUGGUGCUGUUUACCUUGCUGCCAAAAUUUUGAAUUGGAAUCUUGCUUCUUAUCAGCAUAUCUGGCCAGAGUUCCAGACGGCGCAAGCUAUUAUCCAAGAUGUAGCGCAGCAGUUAAUGGAGCUCUUCUGAGAUAAUAGUAAAAUACAAUAAUUGGCUUUCAGCUUACUUGUUACACUUUAGUUAGGCCUGAUUGGUGUAUAGUUAUAGGUCCAUCUAUCGGAAUUUGUGUGCUUUGAGGUGAUGGUGGUAACGAGGAUCGUAAAGAUUGUUGAUAAUGCUUUGAUACAAGUUGGCCUUCGAGUUUCAAGGUCGGAGACUUGGAGGGAUUUCUGUUUUUGUUGGAGCCUUAAGUUAAUGGAAUGAGAAGAAUUCCUCUGUUAUUUUACA